GUGGCGAACGGGUGAGUAACACGUGAGCAACCUGCCCAGAAGCAGGGGAUAGCCCACCGAAAGGUGGAUUAAUACCGUAUGUGAUCCCGCGUAGCAUUGCGCGGUGAUUAAAGCUGGGGAUCUUCGGACCUGGCACUUCUGGAUGGGCUCGCGGCCUAUCAGCUAGUUGGUGAGGUAACGGCUCACCAAGGCGACGACGGGUAACUGGUCUGAGAGGAUGAUCAGUCACACUGGAACUGAGACACGGUCCAGACACCUACGGGUGGCAGCAGUCGAGAAUCAUUCACAAUGGGCGAAAGCCUGAUGGUGCGACGCCGCGUGGAGGAUGACAGCUCUAGGGUUGUAAACUCCUGUCAUGAGAGAGUAAAGGCUUGCCAUUAAUAGUGGUUGGGUCCUGAUAGUAUCUCAAGAGGAAGGGACGGCUAACUUCGUGCCAGCAGCCGCGGUAAUACGAAGGUCCCAAGCGUUGUUCGGAAUCACUGGGCGUAAAGCGAGCGUAGGCGGCAUGGUAAGUCAGAUGUGAAAGCCCGGGGCUCAACCUCGGAACUGCAUCCGAUACUGCCAAGCUAGAGUAGUGGAGGGGUGUAUGGAAUUCACGGUGUAGCAGUGAAAUGCGUAGAUAUCGUGAGGAACACUAGUGGCGAAGGCGAUACACUGGACACUAACUGACGCUGAGGCUCGAAGGCUAGGGUAGCGAAAGGGAUUAGAUACCCCUGUAGUCCUAGCAGUAAACGGUGUGCGUUUGGUGUGGGCGGGUUCGACCCCGUCCGUGCCGGAGCUAACGCGUUAAACGCACCGCCUGGGGAGUACGGUCGCAAGACUAAAACUCAAAGAAAUUGACGGGGACCCGCACAAGCGGUGGAGUAUGUGGCUUAAUUCGAUGCAACGCGAAGAACCUUACCUAGGCUUGACAUGCUUGUCGCAGUUCUGUGAAAGCAGAUCGUCGGUUCGGCCGGACUUGCACAGGUGCUGCAUGGCUGUCGUCAGCUCGUGUCGUGAGAUGUUGGGUUAAGUCCCGCAACGAGCGCAACCCCUAUGAUUAGUUGCCAGCGGAUAAUGCCGGGGACUCUAGUCAGACUGCCUGUAUUAAACAGGAGGAAGGUGGGGACGACGUCAAGUCAGUAUGGCCCUUACGCCUAGGGCUGCACACGUACUACAAUGCUCAGUACAAUGUGAACCGAGACCGCAAGGUGGAGGAAAUCCUGAAAACUGAGCUCAGU
rnacentral:rRNA from 1 species